AUCAGAAGCCAGUAAUAACCGUGAACCUUACGUUGUGUUUUAUAUGACUUGGGUCGAGGAUGUCGCCUUGAUGGAAGGUUCUGUAGUUUCGAAACGAAAGGCAUCUCAUUUAGUGUUACCUUUAUUGAUCGUAAGAUGUCAAAGGCUUGGUCCUCACGAAGAAGGAUUUCACUUCUUCUUUUUGUCAAGUUGUAUGGGCGAUUGUUUGAGUCUAGCUUUUAAAAAUCAAGUCUUUUGAGUCCUCUCACUGUGAGAAUGAACUGUACAAAGACUGCAGAAUUUUUCGCUGCGAAAUCAUUUGGUUUGGGUCUAGUUAGUCAGGUCAAAGUACAGAAGUGCAGAGGUUCUGUAGCACAAAAGCAGUCAUUUAAAUUCGCAUGUAGAAAAUAAUUGUCGCAACUAAGCCUCAUGUCAAAGUGGCAACCUCUUGCACUACUAUAUCUAGCAGAGUAAAUUUGUCUCCAUCGUUGCAAUUAACAGUGUAUGACAAAAAUAUAACGUUUGGAACUGCAAAGUCUAUUACUUUGAAGGUUGCCUUUCGUUGUAUGCAGAUUAUCAUAAUGGGAAGAUUAGAUGCUGAUUGUUUUUUCUUAUAGUGUUAUAUGGACGAACGA
rnacentral:lncRNA from 1 species